UACGGAGGGUGCGAGCGUUGUCCGGAAUCAUUGGGCGUAAAGGGCGCGUAGGUGGCCCGGUCAGUUCGUGGUGAAAGCGCGGGGCUCAACCCUGCGUCGGCCAUGAAUACUGCCGCGGCUGGAGCACUGUAGAGGCAGGCGGAAUUCCGGGUGUAGCGGUGGAAUGCGUAGGGAUCCGGAAGAACACCGGUGGCGAAGGCGGCCUGCUGGGCAGUUGCUGACACUGAGGCGCGACAGCGUGGGGAGCAAACAGG
rnacentral:rRNA from 1 species